UACGUAGGUGGCGAGCGUUGUCCGGAUUUACUGGGCGUAAAGGGAGCGUAGGCGGACUUUUAAGUGAGAUGUGAAAUACUCGGGCUCAACUUGAGUGCUGCAUUUCAAACUGGAAGUCUAGAGUGCAGGAGAGGAGAAUGGAAUUCCUAGUGUAGCGGUGAAAUGCGUAGAGAUUAGGAAGAACACCAGUGGUGAAGGCGAUUCUCUGGACUGUAACUGACGCUGAGGCACGAAAGCGUGGGUAUCAAACAGG
rnacentral:rRNA from 1 species